AUUGAACGCUGGCGGCAUGCCUUACACAUGCAAGUCGAACGGCAGCACGGGUGCUUGCACCUGGUGGCGAGUGGCGAACGGGUGAGUAAUACAUCGGAACGUACCUUAUCGUGGGGGAUAACGCAGCGAAAGCUGUGCUAAUACCGCAUACGCCCUGAGGGGGAAAGCGGGGGAUCGCAAGACCUCGCGCGAUUAGAGCGGCCGAUGCCUGAUUAGCUUGUUGGUGGGGUAAAAGCCCACCAAGGCGACGAUCAGUAGCUGGUCUGAGAGGACGAUCGGCCACACUGGGACUGAGACACGGCCCAGACUCCUACGGGAGGCAGCAGUGGGGAAUUUUGGACAAUGGGGGCAACCCUGAUCCAGCAAUGCCGCGUGAGUGAAGAAGGCCUUCGGGUUGUAAAGCUCUUUUGUCAGGGAAGAAACACCGGCUCUAACACAGUCCGGGAAUGACGGUACCUGAAGGAUAAGCACCGGCUAACUACGUGCCAGCAGCCGCCGUAA
rnacentral:rRNA from 1 species